rnacentral:sRNA from 1 species
GCUGGACACAGUGGCACUCAUCUGUUGUCCAAGCUACUUGGGAGGCUGAGGCAAGAGGACUGCUUGAGCCUGGAAGUUUGAGGCAAGUCUAGGCAACAUAGCAAGACUUCCAUCAC